rnacentral:rRNA from 1 species
CGCGUAGGCGGGUCAGCAAGUCCGGGGUGAAAUCUUUCGGCUCAACCGGAAAAGUGCCUUGGAUACUGCUGGUCUUGAGGGAGGUAGGGGCAUGUGGAACUUCCGGUGGAGCGGUGAAAUGCGUUGAUAUCGGAAGGAACUCCGGUGGCGAAAGCGACGUGCUGGACCUCUUCUGACGCUGAGGCGCGAAAGCUAGGGAGAGAACG